rnacentral:rRNA from 1 species
UACGUAGAGAGCAAGCGUUGUCCGGAAUCAUUGGGCGUAAAGGGUACGCAGGCGGUCUAUUAAGUCAGAGGUGGAAUCCAACAGCUCAACUGUUGAACUGCCUUUGAUACUGGUAGACUUGAGGAUAAGAGAAGAAAACGGAAUUCCUAGUGUAGCGGUGAAAUGCGUAGAUAUUAGGAAGAAUACCGAUGGCGAAAGCAGUUUUCUAACUUAUUCCUGACGCUCAGGUACGAAAGCUAGGGUAGCAAACGGG